GACGAACGCUGGCGGCGUGCUUAACACAUGCAAGUCGAACGGAAAGGCCCUGCUUUUGUGGGGUGCUCGAGUGGCGAACGGGUGAGUAACACGUGAGUAACCUGCCCUUGACUUUGGGAUAACUUCAGGAAACUGGGGCUAAUACCGGAUAGGAGCUCCUGCUGCAUGGUGGGGGUUGGAAAGUUUCGGCGGUUGGGGAUGGACUCGCGGCUUAUCAGCUUGUUGGUGGGGUAGUGGCUUACCAAGGCUUUGACGGGUAGCCGGCCUGAGAGGGUGACCGGCGACAUUGGGACUGAGAGACGGCCCAGACUCCUACGGGAGGCAGCAGUGGGGAAUAUUGCACAAUGGGCGGAAGCCUGAGGCAGCAACGCCGCGUGCGGGAUGACGGCCUUCGGGUUGUGAACCGCUUUCGCCUGUGACGAAGCGUGAGUGACGGUAAUGGGUAAAGAAGCACCGGCUAACUACGUG
rnacentral:rRNA from 1 species